GAGGAGAGGCAGGAAGCGCUGCGGGUGAAGCAGCAAGUGCUCUUUAUUCGUCUAGCAUCUCGCUAGAAUAGAAGAGUCCGUAGACUCUUUUUAGUUUUCUAAGGUUGGUUUAAAUUCAAUAAGUGUCUGGAGACAUUUGUUUUCAUGUCAGGUGUUCUUUGUCUUAGUUUGAUUCCGAUCUACUCCUAUGCAAAGUGUCUUUGUUUGGUUUGAUUUCUUGUGUUUGCAUAUCGGAAGAGCACAC